rnacentral:lncRNA from 1 species
UGAAUGCCUACUCCUUAUUGAAGAGUUACACUGUUAGUGUUUCUAUUUUAAAUUUUUAUCAGUUUGACACAGUCAUAAUGUAAACAGUCAAGGUUUUACCGCAGCAAAUAGAGCCUCAGCUUAUUCCUCCCAUAUGUGAUUCCCAUUUGCCAGAGGUGACCACUGUUUUUCUAGUUAUUUGCCUCCAUGUUUCUAAGUAACAUCCUGUGAGCUUCUUGGAUUUUUUUUUUAAAAAGGUACCUAUUAAUUUCAUACCAUUGAAGAUUUAACAUAUGGCCUCUGUUCCACAUAUCCUUCUACUACUUCAUUCUUACAGUAUAGUUUUAUCACAGAUUAAAGUUUACAGUAUGAUUUUAAAUAUUGUUCUGCUUAACUAUGUAGUAUGCUAUAUUUACUUAUGUGAUUUUUAAAAAUAUUUUUUUAGUUGUAGUUGGACACAAUAUCUUUAUUUAUUUUUAUGUGGAGGAUUGAACCUAGCACCUCACAUGUGCAAGGUGAGCGCUCCAGCACAGAGCCCCAGCCCCAUACUUAUGUAAUUUUUAUUGUCUUGGAAGUUAAUGUCUUUAUUUUUUAUUUUUUUCUCUUUUCCUAUGUAUCUCUAUCACUGAUUCAUUCCCAAAUCUGCUGGAAGUAUUAAUGUUUCAAACAUAGAGAUAAUCUUAAUUUUUACUGGAGACAUCCUGCUGAAGUUCUUGGUGUUUUUGCUCCAGUUUGUACUGGCUACCCUCUAGGUUUGCUACAUAGCUGUUGCUGUGUUGUUGUACUUGGGUGCCCUCUGGUUUGAGCUCAGGAAUUCUAGUCCUGUAUUUGUAGAUGAGACCCAAAGAUACCAGCUACAGGUCUAGCAAAUUAAUGUUACAGCUGGGCUAGAACUUUAGCAAACUGAUCACUGUUAUUUCCUAUUGAUUAUCUUUUCUCCAAUAUUUUAUUAUUUCAAGUACACAGAGAAAUGGAAUGAAAUAUACAAUAAACACUCAUAUGCCCAGGAUCUAGACUAUGAUUGCCAGCAUCAUCCAUCUAUCCAAUCCCUGAUAAUCUCUUAAGUACUUCCUAUUAGAAUAUACUUUCAGAUCAUCCCUCAUUGAUUAGAUUUUUAAUCCAGACUGAGGAAACUCCAGUUUUAAAUAUCUGUGUACCUGCUGCAUGCUUAGCUUAUGGUAGAAGGAAAUGUGAGCUAGCAUUUAUGUCCUGAAGGGAUUCAUAACUUAGUCAAGAUAGUGGAUAUGUACAACUUAUGAGCGAAUGAAGUAGAAUGGUAUGAGGAUAUGCUUUCUGGUUUAAUAU